CAGUCGCCACGGUAAAACGGAGGGUGCAAGCGUUAAUCGGAAUUACUGGGCGUAAAGCGUGCGCAGGCGGUUAUAUAAGUCAGAUGUGAAAUCCCCGGGCUCAACCUGGGAACUGCAUUUGAAACUGUAUGGCUAGAGUGUGUCAGAGGGGGGUAGAAUUCCACGUGUAGCAGUGAAAUGCGUAGAUAUGUGGAGGAAUACCGAUGGCGAAGGCAGCCCCCUGGGAUAACACUGACGCUCAUGCACGAAAGCGUGGGGAGCAAACAGGAUUAGAUACCCCCGUAGUCCCUGUCUCUUAUAC
rnacentral:rRNA from 1 species